rnacentral:lncRNA from 12 species
CGCCCUGUGCUGGCCACGCCCACAAAGCGUUCGCGCCCGGUUUGACCCCGCCCAUUUUUUUUGCAGGGCGCCGAAUUGGGCAGAAAGCGAAUGCGCACGCGCGGAGCAGGAAGGGGGCGUGGCUAGAGGGGACCACGCCCUGUGCGUGGCGCCUCCUAGCGGCGGGCCCCCCCCCCCCCCCCCCCCCCCCCCCCCCCCCCCCCCCCCCCCCCCCCCCCCCCCCCCCCCCCCCCCCCCCCCCCCCCCCCCCCCCCCCCCCCCCCGGAAAAUUGAGGAAAUCGGGGGGGAAAUGGGGGGAAAUGAGGAGGAAAUGGAAAAAAAUGGGGGAAAAAUGGAGGAAAAUGGGAUAAAAAAGGGGGAAAUGGGGAAGGAGGAAGAGGAAGAUGAAGAGGAGAGGAAGGAAAAUGGGGAAAGUCCGAAAAAAUUUGGGAAGAGUUCGGGGGGGGUUGGGAGUGAGGAAGAGGAGGAGGAAGAGAGGGAGGAAAAUGGGGAGAAAACUCAAAAAUCCGGGGAAAAUGAGGUGAGAAGUGGGGAAAUUGAAAGUGAGGAAGAGGAGGAGGAAGAGGAGGAGGAGGAGGAGGAAGAGGAGGAGGAAGAAAGGAGGAAAAAAUGGGGAAAAAUGGGAGAAAAAAAAGGAAAAUUGAGAGUGAGGAGGAGAAAGAGGAAGAGGAGGAAGAGGAGAGGAAGAAAAUUGGGGCGAAAAAGGGAAAAACUGGGGAAAAAUCAAAAAAAUCCGGGAAAAUCGGGGUGAAAAAGGGGAAAAUUGAGAGUGAGGAAGAGGAGGAGGAGGAGGAAGAGGAGGAGGAAGAGGAGAGGAAGAAAAAUCGGG